CCUGGUUGAUCCUGCCAGUAAUCAUAUGCUUGUCUCAAAGAUUAAGCCAUGCAUGUCUAAGUACAUGCCGAAAUAAGGCGAAACCGCGAAUGGCUCAUUAAAUCAGUUAUGGUUCCUUAGAUCGUUUCUUCCUACUUGGAUAACUGUGGCAAUUCUAGAGCUAAUACAUGCAGUGAGCCUGGAGCCCUUUGGGUAACGGGUGCUUUUAUUAGACCAAGAUCGAUCGGGUUUCGGCCCGUAUUGUGUGGUGACUCUGGAUAACUUUGUGCUGAUCGCAUGGCCACGAGCCGGCGACGUUUCUUUCAAGUGUCUGCCUUAUCAACUUUCGAUGGUAGGUUACUUGCUUACCAUGGUUGUUACGGGUAACGGAGAAUCAGGGUUCGAUUCCGGAGAGGGAGCCUGAGAAACGGCUACCACAUCCAAGGAAGGCAGCAGGCGCGCAAAUUACCCAUCCUCCCGGGGCACGGGGAGGUAGUGACGAAAAAUAACAAUACGGGACUCUUUUGAGGCCCCGUAAUUGAAAUGAGUACACUCUAAAUCCUUUAACGAGGAUCAAUUGGAGGGCAAGUCUGGUGCCAGCAGCCGCGGUAAUUCCAGCUCCAAUAGCGUAUACUAAAGCUGCUGCGGUUAAAAAGCUCGUAGUUGGAUCUCAGUUCCAGACGAGUAGUGCAUCUACCCGAUGCGACGGCUCGGACUGAACAUCAUGCCGGUUCUUUCUUGGUGCACUUCAUUGUGUGCCUCGAGAUGGCCGGUGCUUUUACUUUGAAAAAAUUAGAGUGCUCAACGCAGGCGAGUCGCCUGAAUAAACUUGCAUGGAAUAAUAGAACAAGACCUCGUUUCUCUUGUGUUGGUUUUUGGAAUACGAGGUAAUGAUUAAGAGGGACGGACGGGGGCAUUCGUAUUGCGGCGCUAGAGGUGAAAUUCUUGGACCGUCGCAAGACGAACUACUGCGAAAGCAUUUGCCAAGAAUGUUUUCAUUGAUCAAGAACGAAAGUCAGAGGUUCGAAGGCGAUCAGAUACCGCCCUAGUUCUGACCAUAAACGAUGCCAACCAGCGAUCCGCCUGAGUUACUCAAAUGACUCGGCGGGCAGCUUCCGGGAAACCAAAGUAUUUGGGUUCCGGGGGAAGUAUGGUUGCAAGCUGAAACUUAAAGGAAUUACGGAAGGGCACCACCAGGAGUGGAGCCUGCGGCUUAAUUUGACUCAACACGGGAAAACUUACCCGGCCCGGACACUGGGAGGAUUGACAGAUUGAGAGCUCUUUCUUGAUUCGGUGGAUGGUGGUGCAUGGCCGUUCUUAGUUGGUGGAGCGAUUUGUCUGGUUAAUUCCGAUAACGAACGAGACUCUAGCCUAUUAAAUAGGUGCGGGGUUCCCAGCACCUUACAACCUUCUUAGAGGGACAAGCGGCUCCUAGCCGCACGAAACAGAGCAAUAACAGGUCUGUGAUGCCCUUAGAUGUCCGGGGCCGCACGCGCGCUACACUGAAGGAAGCAGCGUGUCUUUAUCCCUGUCUGAAAAGAACUUGGGUAAACCCGUGGAACUUCUUUUCGUGAUUGGGAUAGGGGCUUGCAAUUGUUUCCCCUUGAACGAGGAAUUCCCAGUAAGCGCGAGUCAUAAGCUCGCGUUGAUUACGUCCCUGCCCUUUGUACACAACCCGCCCGUCGCUAAACUACCGAUUGAAUGAUUUAGUUGAGGUCUUCGGGACCGAUGUCCCGGCGCGGCCUUUCGGUUGCGCCGGUCUGUUUGGGAAAGAUGACCAAAAACUUGAUCAUUUAGAGGAAGUAAAAGUCGUAACAAGGUUUCCGUAGGUGAACCUGCGGAAG
rnacentral:rRNA from 1 species